AUGAUUGUUGCUAUAUCAACAAUUAAGAGGGCAGUUUGCUGUACUGGGAAGAACAAUGAAUUCAUAACAGAAAUCUCAAUUUGUUGUCCAUUUAUUCUAGCCUGUGGCAUUGAGACCAAAUACUUGUCUGACUCAGUUUUGAUCUUUACAUUUUCUAUAAUCUCUGCCUCCUUGCAUUUAUCUCCUCAGAUCAGAGAAAACAGAUCCAGUUUUAUGGAGAGAAAAGGUAACUGUGAAAUGGUCUUCAUAUUCCCCAUGAAGAAUAUACAGAGAAUUGAACUCUUAAAUAUGCUAUUGGCAGAAGGAGACAAGUUUUAAUUAUUGGGUAAGGAUUAUUUUAAUAUGUAUGUGAAUUGCUGACAUGAUCAUCCAUCUUUCUCCAAUUCUUGAAAAUGGUUUGAUUUACUUAAUAUUCAAUUGUAAUUUGUUUAUAUCAUUAAUUUAUUUGGCAUAUUC
ensembl:lncRNA